AGUGGAAAUGGGCGAAGCCUGAGCAGCGACGCCGCGUGAGGGACGAAGGCCUUCGGGUUGUAAACCUCUUUCAGCAGGGACGAAGCGAGAGUGACUGUACCUGCAGAAGAAGCACCGGCUAACUACGUGCCAGCAGCCGCGGUAAUACGUAGGGUGCAAGCGUUGUCCGGAUUUAUUGGGCGUAAAGAGCUCGUAGGCGGUUUGUCGCGUCGGAUGUGAAAACCUAUGGCUUAACCAUGGGCCUGCAUUCGAUACGGGCAGACUAGAGUUUGGUAGGGGAGACUGGAAUUCCUGGUGUAGCGGUGAAAUGCGCAGAUAUCAGGGGGGGGGGGGGUGGCGAAGGCGGGUCUCUGGGCCAAUACUGACGCUGAGGAGCGAAAG
rnacentral:rRNA from 1 species